rnacentral:rRNA from 1 species
ACAUCGAUAUCACAGGAAAGGUGCGGAAAACGCGUGGAUAGACGAAAAGACCGCGCGAGCACCAUAUCUGUAACUCGACCCUGUGGUGA